rnacentral:rRNA from 1 species
AGUUGAUAUGGCUCAGGAUGAACGCUAGCUACAGGCUUAACACAUGCAAGUCGAGGGGCAGCGGAAGUAGCUGCUACUUGCCGGCGACGCGCACGGGUGAGUAACGCGUAUCCAACUUCCCCUUAGUAGGGCAUAGCCCGUAGAAAUGCGGAUUAAUACCCUAUGUUAUUCGUCGAGGACAUCUGAAGUGAAUCAAAGGUUUACCGCUAAGGGAUGGGGAUGCGUCUGAUUAGGCAGCAGGUGGGGUAACGGCCCACCUGGCCGACGAUCAGUAGGGGUUCUGAGAGGAAGGUCCCCCACAUUGGAACUGAGACACGGUCCAAACUCCUACGGGAGGCAGCAGUGAGGAAUAUUGGUCAAUGGGCGCGAGCCUGAACCAGCCAAGUAGCGUGCAGGACGACGGCCCUAUGGGUUGUAAACUGCUUUUAUGCGGGGAUAAAGUUCACUACGUGUAGUGUUUUGUAGGUACCGCAUGAAUAAGGACCGGCUAAUUCCGUGCCAGCAGCGGC